UAGGGAAUCUUCCGCAAUGGACGCAAGUCUGAUGGAGCAACGCCGCGUGAGUGAAGAAGGUUUUCGGAUCGUAAAGCUCUGUUGUUGGUGAAGAAGGAUAGAGGCAGUAACUGGUCUUUAUUUGACGGUAAUCAACCAGAAAGUCACGGCUAACUACGUGCCAGCAGCCGCGGUAAUACGUAGGUGGCAAGCGUUGUCCGGAUUUAUUGGGCGUAAAGCGAGCGCAGGCGGAAUGAUAAGUCUGAUGUGAAAGCCCACGGCUCAACCGUGGAACUGCAUCGGAAACUGUCAUUCUUGAGUGCAGAAGAGGAGAGUGGAAUUCCAUGUGUAGCGGUGGAAUGCGUAGAUAUAUGGAAGAACACCAGUGGCGAAGGCGGCUCUCUGGUCUGCAACUGACGCUGAGGCUCGAAAGCAUGGGUAGCGAACAGG
rnacentral:rRNA from 1 species